rnacentral:sRNA from 1 species
UUUUAGCCCAGAUAGCAGCGACAUCCUUUUCUUGUUCCGUUUUUUUUAACGGAACAAGAAAAGAUAUAGCGUAUAGCUGGAAUAGCU